UGGGGAAUAUCGCACAAUGGGCGCAAGCCUGAUGCAGCCAUGCCGCGUGUGUGAAGAAGGCCUUCGGGUUGUAAAGCACUUUCAGCGAGGAGGAAGGUGGUGAGCUUAAUACGCUCAUCAAUUGACGUUACUCGCAGAAGAAGCACCGGCUAACUCCGUGCCAGCAGCCGCGGUAAUACGGAGGGUGCAAGCGUUAAUCGGAAUUACUGGGCGUAAAGCGCACGCAGGCGGUUUGUUAAGUCAGAUGUGAAAUCCCCGGGCUCAACCUGGGAACUGCAUUUGAAACUGGCAAGCUAGAGUCUCGUAGAGGGGGGUAGAAUUCCAGGUGUAGCGGUGAAAUGCGUAGAGAUCUGGAGGAAUACCGGUGGCGAAAGGCGGCCCCCCUGGACGAAGACUGACGCUCAGGUGCGAAAGCGUGGGGCAGCAAACAGGAUUAGAUACCCUGGUAGUCCACGCUGU
rnacentral:rRNA from 1 species